rnacentral:rRNA from 1 species
AUUGAACGCUGGCGGCAGGCCUAACACACGCAAGUCGAGCGGCAGCGGGAAAGUAGCUUGCUACUUUUGCCGGCGAGCGGCGGACGGGUGAGUAAUGCCUGGGGAUCUGCCCAGUCGAGGGGGAUAACUACUGGAAACGGUAGCUAAUACCGCAUACGCCCUACGGGGGAAAGCAGGGGACCUUCGGGCCUUGCGGGGUUGGAUGAACCCGGGGGGGAUUAGCUAGUUGGUGAGGUAAUGGCUCACCAAGGCGACGAUCCCUAGCUGGUCUGAGAGGAUGAUCAGCCACACUGGAACUGAGACACGGUCCAGACUCCUACGGGAGGCAGCAGUGGGGAAUAUUGCACAAUGGGGGAAACCCUGAUGCAGCCAUGCCGCGUGUGUGAAGAAGGCCUUCGGGUUGUAAAGCACUUUCAGCGAGGAGGAAAGGUUGGUAGCUAAUAACUGCCAGCUGUGACGUUACUCGCAGAAGAAGCACCGGCUAACUCCGUGCCAGCCGCCGCCGUAAAAC